GAACGGGUGAGUAACACGUGGGUGACCUGCCCUCUGGAGGGGGAUAACCCGGGGAAACCCGGGCUAAGACCGCAUAAGCCUUCGAGGUCAAACUCAAAGGGAAAAGGGUUUAGCUUUCGAGCUUGAUCCUGCCGGAGGAGGGGCCCGCGUCCCAUUAGCUAGUUGGUGGGGUAAAAGCCUACCAAGGCUACGAUGGGUAGCCGGUCUGAGAGGACGAACGGCCACACUGGAACUGAGACACGGUCCAGACUCCUACGGGAGGCAGCAGUGGGGAAUUUUGGGCAAUGGGCGAAAGCCUGACCCAGCAACGCCGCGUGGAGGAUGAAGGCCCUCGGGUCGUAAACUCCUGUCCUAGGGGAAGAAAAAAAUGACGGUACCCUUGGAGGAAGCCCCGGCUAACUCCGUGCCAGCAGCCGCGGUAAGACGGGGGGGGCGAGCGUUGUUCGGAAUUACUGGGCGUAAAGGGCGCGCAGGCGGCUUGGGAAGUCUUGGGUGAAAGCCCCCAGCUCAACUGGGGAAUGGCCCGAGAAACCACUAGGCUGGAGUGCUGGAGAGGGAAGCGGAAUUCCCGGUGGAGCGGUGAAAUGCGUAGAUAUC
rnacentral:rRNA from 1 species